CCUACGGGAGGCUGCAGUGGGGAAUAUUGCACAAUGGGGGAAACCCUGAUGCAGCGACGCCGCGUGAGUGAUGAAGUAUUUCGGUAUGUAAAGCUCUAUCAGCAGGGAAGAAAAUGACGGUUCCUGACUAAGAAGCCCCCGCCAAAUACGGGCCAGCAGCCGCGGUAAUACGUAGGGGGCAAGCGUUAUCCGGAUUUACUGGGGGUAAAGGGAGCGUAGACGGGUGUGCAAGGUAGAUGUGAAAGCCCGGGGCUCAACCCCGGGACUGCAUUUGGAACUGUUUGGCUAGAGUGUCGGAGAGGCAAGCGGAAUUCCUAGUGUAGCGGUGAAAUGCGUAGAUAUUAGGAGGAACACCAGUGGCGAAGGCGGCCUACUGGACAGUAACUGACGUUGAGGCUCGAAAGCGUGGGGAGCAAACAGGAUUAGAUACCCGUGUAGUC
rnacentral:rRNA from 1 species